UACGUAGGGGGCAAGCGUUGUCCGGAAUCAUUGGGCGUAAAGAGCGCGUAGGCGGCCCUGUAAGUCCGCUGUGAAAGUCAAGGGCUCAACCCUUGAAUGCCGGUGGAUACUGCAGGGCUAGAGUCCGGAAGAGGCGAGUGGAAUUCCUGGUGUAGCGGUGAAAUGCGCAGAUAUCAGGAGGAACACCGGUGGCGAAGGCGGGUCUCUGGGCCGUAACUGACGCUGAGGAGCGAAAGCGUGGGGAGCGAACAGG
rnacentral:rRNA from 1 species